rnacentral:rRNA from 1 species
GCGGGGGGGCUGCUAUACUGCAAGUCGAGCGGACAGAUGGGAGCUUGCUCCCUGAUGUUAGCGGCGGACGGGUGAGUAACACGUGGGUAACCUGCCUGUAAGACUGGGAUAACUCCGGGAAACCGGGGCUAAUACCGGAUGGUUGUUUGAACCGCAUGGUUCAGACAUAAAAGGUGGCUUCGGCUACCACUUACAGAUGGACCCGCGGCGCAUUAGCUAGUUGGUGAGGUAACGGCUCACCAAGGCGACGAUGCGUAGCCGACCUGAGAGGGUGAUCGGCCACACUGGGACUGAGACACGGCCCAGACUCCUACGGGAGGCAGCAGUAGGGAAUCUUCCGCAAUGGACGAAAGUCUGACGGAGCAACGCCGCGUGAGUGAUGAAGGUUUUCGGAUCGUAAAGCUCUGUUGUUAGGGAAGAACAAGUGCCGUUCAAAUAGGGCGGCACCUUGACGGUACCUAACCAGAAAGCCACGGCUAACUACGUGCCAGCAGCCGCGGUAAUACGUAGGUGGCAAGCGUUGUCCGGAAUUAUUGGGCGUAAAGGGCUCGCAGGCGGUUUCUUAAGUCUGAUGUGAAAGCCCCCGGCUCAACCGGGGAGGGUCAUUGGAAACUGGGGAACUUGAGUGCAGAAGAGGAGAGUGGAAUUCCACGUGUAGCGGUGAAAUGCGUAGAGAUGUGGAGGAACACCAGUGGCGAAGGCGACUCUCUGGUCUGUAACUGACGCUGAGGAGCGAAAGCGUGGGGAGCGAACAGGAUUAGAUACCCUGGUAGUCCACGCCGUAAACGAUGAGUGCUAAGUGUUAGGGGGUUUCCGCCCCUUAGUGCUGCAGCUAACGCAUUAAGCACUCCGCCUGGGGAGUACGGUCGCAAGACUGAAACUCAAAGGAAUUGACGGGGGCCCGCACAAGCGGUGGAGCAUGUGGUUAAUUCGAAGCAACGCGAAGACC